AACGCUAGCUACAGGCUUAACACAUGCAAGUCGAGGGGCAGCAUGAAGUUUGCUUGCAAACUUUGAUGGCGACCGGCGCACGGGUGAGUAACGCGUAUCCAACCUGCCCCGUACUCGGGUAUAGCCCAGCGAAAGCUGGAUUAAUCCCCGAUGUUACCUUUAUGGUGCAUGCCAUAUUGGUUAAAGUUAUUCGGUACGGGAUGGGGAUGCGUCUGAUUAGGUAGUAGGCGGGGUAACGGCCCACCUAGCCGACGAUCAGUAGGGGUUCUGAGAGGAAGGUCCCCCACACUGGAACUGAGACACGGUCCAGACUCCUACGGGAGGCAGCAGUGAGGAAUAUUGGUCAAUGGGCGAGAGCCUGAACCAGCCAAGUAGCGUGCAGGAUGACGGCCCUACGGGUUGUAAACUGCUUUUAUGCGGGAAUAAAGAUAUCUACGUGUAGAUAGUUGCAUGUACCGCAUGAAUAAGGACCGGCUAAUUCCGUGCCAGCAGCCGCGGUAAUACGGAAGGUCCGGGCGUUAUCCGGAUUUAUUGGGUUUAAAGGGAGCGUAGGCGGCCUUUUAAGCGUGCUGUGAAAUGUACCGGCUCAACCGGUGAAUUGCAGCGCGAACUGGAGGGCUUGAGUUCGCGGAAGGCAGGCGGAAUUCGUGGUGUAGCGGUGAAAUGCUUAGAUAUCACGAAGAACUCCGAUU
rnacentral:rRNA from 1 species